rnacentral:rRNA from 1 species
CAAAGUGUGAUAAGCAUUGUGAUGUGCGAGAUCCUGUGAACCAUUAGACUCCCGAGCGCACUCUGUACUUCUAGGAUCUCCUGGAAGUAAUCCAGCUUCAGGGUCAUGUAGCUUCCCCCUUUGGGUGUUUUGCUCUGAACAAGGUGUCAUGCCUUG